rfam:Populus trichocarpa scaffold_11_contig_554, whole genome shotgun sequence.
UCUAGAACUUAAGAUAUGGGUUGAACACUGAACAGUGUCUGGGCUGCAGGACGGAUUAUGACUUCUGUUUUGUUGCUAUAAUUUGAACUUGAAAACGACCGUUUUGAAUCUUGGACUCUUCAUGAAAGUUUUAGGCCUAUGUCUUAGCUUUCCAUC